rnacentral:rRNA from 1 species
GGCUUCCGGGAGGUCUAGCAUGCGAGUCAUUGUAGUAAUACAAGGCAGACGGCUCAGUAACGCGUAGUCAAUCUACCCUAUGGACGGAAAUAACCUCGGGAAACUGAGAAUAAUGUCCGAUAGAACAUUAUGCCUGGAAUGGUUUAUGUUCCAAAUGAUUUAUCGCCAUAGGAUGGGACUGCGGCCUAUCAGUUUGUUGGUGAGGUAAUGGCCCACCAAGACUAUUACAGGUACGGGCUCUGAGAGGAGUAGCCCGGAGAUGGGUACUGAGACACGGACCCAGGCCCUAUGGGGCGCAGCAGGCGAGAAAACUUUGCAAUGUGCGAAAGCACGACAAGGUUAAUCCGAGUGGUUUCUGCUAAAGAAACCUUUUGUUAGUCCUAGAAACACUGAUGAAUAAGGGGUGGGCAAGUUCUGGUGUCAGCCGCCGCGGUAAAACCAGCACCUCAAGUGGUCAGGAUGAUUAUUGGGCCUAAAGCAUCCGUAGCUCGCUUUGUAAGUUUUCGGUUAAAUCCAUGCGCUUAACGUAUGGGCUGCCGGGAAUACUGCAUAGCUAGGGAGUGGGAGAGGUAGACGGUACUCGGUAGGAAGGGGUAAAAUCCUUUGAUCUAUUGAUGACCACCUGUGGCGAAGGCGGUCUACCAGAACACGUCCGACGGUGAGGGAUGAAAGCUGGGGGAGCAAACCGGAUUAGAUACCCGGGCAGUCCCAGCUGUAAACUAUGCAAACUCAGUGAUGCAUUGGCUUGUGGCCAAUGCAGUGCUGCAGGGAAGCCGUUAAGUUUGCCGCCUGGGAAGUACGUACGCAAGUAUGAAACUUAAAGGAAUUGGCGGGGGAGCACCACAAGGGGUGAAGCCUGCGGUUCAAUUGGAGUCAACGCCGGG